rnacentral:misc_RNA from 1 species
GUAAUUUAUUACAUUAUUUUGCUGACGCUGAUUGCAAUUACAAUAAAAAAGGUUUAAAUGGGGUCCAAUUGGCGGGCGAACCCGCCAAGGAAACAAGUAGUACGCAAAAGACAUGGGUGAAUAUGGCGUCAGAAGGGGCCCCCUAGAGGGCGCCCAAUCUGCCUUCAUAUUUGUGUAAUGAUCCCUCCGCAGGUUCACCUACGGAGA